AUUGAACGCUGGCGGCAGGCCUAACACAUGCAAGUCGAGCGGGGUUUUCGGACCUAGCGGCGGACGGGUGAGUAAUGCGUAGGAAGCUGCCCGAUAGAGGGGGAUACCAGUUGGAAACGACUGUUAAUACCGCAUAAUGUCUACGGACCAAAGUGUGGGACCUUCGGGCCACAUGCUAUCGGAUGCGCCUACGUGGGCUUAGCUAGUUGGUGAGGUAAUGGCUCACCAAGGCGACGAUCUGUAGCUGGUUUGAGAGGAUGAUCAGCCACACUGGAACUGGGACACGGUCCAGACUCCUACGGGAGGCAGCAGUGGGGAAUAUUGGACAAUGGGCGCAAGCCGGAUCCAGCCAUGCCGCGUGUGUGAAGAAGGCCUUCGGGUUGUAAAGCACUUUCAGCGAGGAGGAAGGGUGGUGUGUUAAUAGCACAUCAUUUUGACGUUACUCGCAGAAGAAGCACCGGCUAACUCUGUGCCAGCAGCCGCCGUAAAAC
rnacentral:rRNA from 1 species